rnacentral:rRNA from 2 species
UGGGGAAUAUUGCACAAUGGAGGGAACUCUGAUGCAGCGACGCCGCGUGAACGAAGAAGGCUUUCGAGUCGUAAGGUUCUUUUAUAUGGGAAGAUAAUGACGGUACCAUAAGAAAAAGCCCCGGCUAACUACGUGCCAGCAGCCGCGGUAAUACGUAGGGGGCUAGCGUUGUCCGGAAUCACUGGGCGUAAAGGGUUCGCAGGCGGAAAUGCAAGUCAGGUGUAAAAGGCAGUAGCUUAACUACUGUAAGCAUUUGAAACUGCAUAUCUUGAGAAGAGUAGAGGUAAGUGGAAUUUUUAGUGUAGCGGUGAAAUGCGUAGAUAUUAAAAAGAAUACCGGUGGCGAAGGCGACUUACUGGGCUCAUUCUGACGCUGAGGAACGAAAGCGUGGGUAGCAAACAGG